AUUAAAAAACCGGUUAGAAAAAAACCCAGUUAAAAUAAAAUAAAAAAAGGCAUUGCAAUUAAGAAAACUCUACCGAUUUCUUUUCAUCAGAUUGCUUAAUAUUUUCUCUCUUUGAACAAAAAAACAAGCGAUACUGCGAUACAGAGAAAGGGAAGGAGAAAAAAAAAACUUGCAAUCUAGUGAAGAAUCGUGCGACCAAACGUUCGUCCCAGAGGUAUUGAGAGAGAGGCGAUGAAAUCGAGAGAGAAGCUAUGAAGACACGGAGAAAGAAACAGAAAAAGAGAGAAGCGAUGAAGACACGGUGAAACAAACAGAAAAGGAGAGAGGCGAUCCUGGUACACGGAGAAAGAAGAGAUCGCCUCUCUGUUUCUGACAGAAUGGCUCUCUGCCUACAAACAACGCCUCUGAUGGGUUCUAUUCUUUUUCUGAUUUAUUUAUAGAGAUAGAAAUAGAGAAAGAGAGGCGAUGAGGCUUGGGACAUGGAGAAAGAAACAGAGAAAGAGGCAGAGUUCAGUUUCCCCACCACCGUCCGUUCCCUUUCCAGAUUUAGACCACCAGAUUGUUGGAACCAACAUCGACAACGGGGCACAUUUGCAUUAGACGAAAAUUUUGAAGAACGAAGUGGAUUUUAAUCAGAAAGUGUUGAAGCCCAACUGAGGAUUUUUGGCAAAAACAAGUUUGAAGAGAAGCCAGUAACUAUCAACUGUCAUUCACAUAGGCAACAAAGCUCUACAUCAACUUUGACAUUCCAAAAGUCACAAAGGAAAUUAUGCCAAAAGGACCUCCUAAAGGACUGAAUGGAUAACUUUCUUACAUAAUAGAAAAAUAGUUGCUGAAAUAGAAGACUUGGAAGCAUAAAAAAUGCUUAAGAAUUAUGCACCAAGUUCUAUUCUUCAUACCCUUUUCUUAUUUACUUAAUUUUCUGUUUUAUUUCAGAUUAUGAGAGAUUUAAUUUUCUGUAUUUAGGCUAUGGUUUUGUAAUCUAAGCAUCCUAAGACUCUUAUAUCAACAUGAAUUUAAGUUUUGUAAUAUAUGUGAUUCUAAUUUUGAACUUAGUUAUAAUUGUAGAUUGUAAUUCAUUUGUCUCUGUUAGAUUGCCGCACUGUUCAGUGCAGCCUUAUUUUGGGAAUACAAGAUUGAUGAAAAUUGAGAAUGCUA